AGGCCUGGAGAGAGGCAGGGUCUGAUCCGAAGUCUUCGUGGCAGCUGUUGAUCAGCUGUUGCCCCUCUCUUUCUCUCUG
rfam:Myotis davidii contig74658, whole genome shotgun sequence.